AUUGAACGCUGGCGGCAGGCCUAACACAUGCAAGUCGAACGGUAACAGGAAGAAGCUUGCUUCUUUGCUGACGAGUGGCGGACGGGUGAGUAAUGUCUGGGAAACUGCCUGAUGGAGGGGGAUAACUACUGGAAACGGUAGCUAAUACCGCAUAAUGUCGCAAGACCAAAGAGGGGGACCUUCGGGCCUCUUGCCAUCGGAUGUGCCCAGAUGGGAUUAGCUAGUAGGUGGGGUAACGGCUCACCUAGGCGACGAUCCCUAGCUGGUCUGAGAGGAUGACCAGCCACACUGGAACUGAGACACGGUCCAGACUCCUACGGGAGGCAGCAGUGGGGAAUAUUGCACAAUGGGCGCAAGCCUGAUGCAGCUAUGCCGCGUGUAUGAAGAAGGCCUUCGGGUUGUAAAGUACUUUCAGCGGGGAGGAAGGGAGUAAAGUUAAUACCUUUGAUCAUUGACGUUACCCGCAGAAGAAGCACCGGCUAACUCCGG
rnacentral:rRNA from 1 species